rnacentral:rRNA from 1 species
CACGUGAGCAAUCUGCCCCUGACUCUGGGAUAAGCGCUGGAAACGGCGUCUAAUACCGGAUACGAGCUGCGACCGCAUGGUCAGUAGCUGGAAAGAAUUUCGGUCAGGGAUGAGCUCGCGGCCUAUCAGCUUGUUGGUGAGGUAAUGGCUCACCAAGGCGUCGACGGGUAGCCGGCCUGAGAGGGUGACCGGCCACACUGGGACUGAGACACGGCCCAGACUCCUACGGGAGGCAGCAGUGGGGAAUAUUGCACAAUGGGCGAAAGCCUGAUGCAGCAACGCCGCGUGAGGGAUGACGGCCUUCGGGUUGUAAACCUCUUUUAGCAGGGAAGAAGCGAAAGUGACGGUACCUGCAGAAAAAGCGCCGGCUAACUACGUGCCAGCAGCCGCGGUAAUACGUAGGGCGCAAGCGUUAUCCGGAAUUAUUGGGCGUAAAGAGCUCGUAGGCGGUCUGUCGCGUCUGCUGUGAAAACCCGAGGCUCAACCUCGGGCCUGCAGUGGGUACGGGCAGACUAGAGUGCGGUAGGGGAGAUUGGAAUUCCUGGUGUAGCGGUGGAAUGCGCAGAUAUCAGGAGGAACACCGAUGGCGAAGGCAGAUCUCUGGGCCGUAACUGACGCUGAGGAGCGAAAGGGUGGGGAGCAAACAGGCUUAGAUACCCUGGUAGUCCACCCCGUAAACGUUGGGAACUAGUUGUGGGGUCCAUUCCACGGAUUCCGUGACGCAGCUAACGCAUUAAGUUCCCCGCCUGGGGAGUACGGCCGCAAGGCUAAAACUCAAAGGAAUUGACGGGGACCCGCACAAGCGGCGGAGCAUGCGGAUUAAUUCGAUGCAACGCGAAGAACCUUACCAAGGCUUGACAUAUAGAGGAAACGUCUGGAAACAGUCGCCCCGCAAGGUCUCUAUACAGGUGGUGCAUGGGUUGUCGUCAGCUCGUGUCGUGAGAUGUUGGGUUAAGUCCGCACGAGCGCACCCUCGUUCUAUGGUGGCAGCACGUAAUGGUGGGAACUCAUGGGAUACUGCCGGGGUCAACUCGGAGGAAGGUGGGGAUGACGUCAAAUCAUCAUGCCCCUUAUGUCUUGGGCUUCACGCAUGCUACAAUGGCCGGUACAAAGGGCUGCAAUACCGUGAGGUGGAGCGAAUCCCAAAAAGCCGGUCCCAGUUCGGAUUGAGGUCUGCAACUCGACCUCAUGAAGUCGGAGUCGCUAGUAAUCGCAGAUCAGCAACGCUGCGGUGAAUACGUUCCCGGGUCUUGUACACACCGCCCGUCAAGUCAUGAAAGUCGGUAACACCUG